AAAUGACUCCGACUCGUCCCGACACUCUACAGAUGUGUCGACUAGUCGCUAAUAUUAUAGUCAUUCCAUCAACUAACCCUAGGGACACUACAGUUAAAAUAAAAUUACACUGUUUAAUUUUUUUUUUUUUGCAUUUUUAAAUAAAAUUGCACCACACUACAACAAAAACGGUCUAUAGCGACACUUUUAAAUAUAGGUACAUGUCAAAAAAGUGCUGCUAGGUAAAAUUACCGACACUUUUAAAAAGUGUUACUAUAUGUGGGGUCGCUAGGUAUAUAGUGACAGUUAAAGAGUGUCGCUAUAACCUAAAAGAGUGCUACUAAUUUACUAAUACUUAUUUAAGCAUUUAGCAACCGCCGAAACUCUAUCUCGUUGGCUGCGGUGGCGGAGGAGGACGACAGAAAAGGCUCUUCGUCUAGAAUUUCAGUAGAUUGAGUGAAGAGAGAAGAAAAGAUGGCAAUUGAUUUUUCUUUUUUUUUUCUUUUCUGUUUGUAAUCGGGCCAAAUGGACUGGGUGUGGUGGGUUGAGUAGAGUAAUCUUUUAUUUUUGGUUGGAUUGGGCUUUAUAUUUAGGCAUUAGCAAAUAUUUUUUUAAGUUUUAGUAUAAAUGGGACACUUACUCAAAAGUGUCCCAAACAUGUGUCCCUAUAACCUAAUUGUGUUGUAGUGCCAUUUUAAAUGAAAUUGCACUAUUUUAUACUAUUUUAAAUGAAAUUGCACUAUUUUAAAUAAAAUUGCACUACUUUUAUACUAUCUUAAAUGAAAUUGCACUAUUUAAAUGAAAUUGUACUAAUUUUUGCACUAUCCGCUGUGACCACGCCGCCACCCGCUCCGUCGACUCCUCCGUCGGGCGGCGCGCUGCUUGAGUUUCUCCGCGCAGCUUCUCUGGAUGACGAGCAUGAGCUUCGCGGCGAGGCCGGCCUCGACGGGGGUAGGGACGCACUUCUCGGGGGCGAGCUUGCACACGGCCCAAAGCACGUUGAACGCGACGUGGGUGCAAGGCUCGGAGACCCUCAUAAGCGCGUGCACGGCGCAGGGGAUGGUGCGGGGACACUCCUUCAGCGUGCCCCACCCCUCAAGCACGGUCCCGAGUUGGUCGACGAUCCCCAACGCAGGCUCCAACAGCUCGCCGACACCGCCAGGGCUGCCAGCGACAUUCGCAGCGUUCGAGUUGGAGACUUUAAGGAUGGUGGGCACGGCGCCGACGGUGACUAGCAUGGAUAGCAUGCGUGCGUUGUUAUUGUUGUGUUGGUCGGCGGCGGCGGCGAAGGAGGAGCAGAGGGAUUUGAUGGGGGCGGUGGUGGACCUGGUGGAGGAGGAUGAGGAUGAGGAUGAGGAUGAGAGGAAAGAGGAGGAGGAAGAAGAAGAAGGAAAAGAAAAAUUAUGUAAAUUUUAUCUAAAUAGUGCAAUGUUGUCCUAAAGAGUAUAAAUCCGAUCCCAAAGAGUGUAAUUUCUGUCUCAAAAUAGUGCAAUUUUAUUUAAAAUAGCGCAAAAAAAUUUCAAACGGUUUUCAUCGAUAAUUCCUGGUCUUUAUUUUUUUCUUCUUUCUUCUUCUAUAAUUUUUUUUGGUCACGCCUGUCUACCAACGACUAUGGUGCCAGCGACAACGCCACUAUAGACCCCCCGCCCUGAGGCUGUGGCACCGCAGCGACCUUCACGGCAUCGGCGUCGAGGCGACGUCGUCGGAGGAGGCGGCGGAGGAGGAAUGAGAGGGAGAGGGCGAGAAGGGCGGGGAAGAGCGAGAGAGGGCAAAAGAGGCGUCGUCGUCGGAGACGGUGGAGAAGGGUCGGAGAGGGAAAAAAAAAAGAAUCGUGGCGCAGCCUCAGCGGGGUCAGAGGCGAGGAAGGUUCGGGAGUGUGCCGGCGAGGUUGAGCGUAUGAGGGUGAGAGGCGAGGCGGGUCGUUUUCGCCUCCGUCUUUGCCUCUGCCACUUUCUUCGUAGAGAGAGAAAAAAAUGAACGAGAGAAAAAAAAAGAGGAGAGAGAAAAAGUAAUUAGGGUAUUUUGGUCAGUUUGCUGAAAAUUCGAACUGAGUUUGCAAAAUCAAAAAAGACGGACCAGUUUUGCAAAAGCUCAAAACUUAUGAAUUUUUUAUGCAAAUUGGCCAUUAAUAAUUAUAAAUAAUAAAUAAAUAAAUAAUUUUAUUAUUUAAGAAAUAAACAAUUAGGUAAAUAUAUUAAUUAGAUUAACUAAUGCUUUAAUAUCAUAAUUAAAAAUAAAUUUAGACUUUAAUUAACUUUGUUUCCAUUUGGAAACAAGCUUGUUCUAGAAAAAAGUGUGGAACAACAGUUUCAGCCUUAUACCAGUUUAUUCUAGAAACUCGAGAACUACUGUUCUCAAGUACCAAACGUAUCGUUUGGGAACAAAGGGGGAACAAGGGCUUAUUCCCCCUUUGUUCCUGAACCAAACACUGCCUAAAUCUUCUCCUUGUAGCUUGACCUGCCUAGCCGGGCACCGGCCGAGCUGAUCCGUUUGGCAUCACCCUCUGUGGAAUUGUUGUACAUUAAAUCCUCUCCCUGUAGAUUGACCUGCCUAGCCAGGCACCGGCCAAGUUGAUCCGUUUGGUUGCUCCCCUCGUUUUGAUCCCCUUCUUCGAAGGAAAUACCACGAUCAUUACCUCCGAAGGAGCCGUUCUCUCUAUCUGACCAGCUACGAGGAUGAUAAUGUCUUCUACAGUUAUCGUUAGGAUUUUAGGGAUAUCACUGAAAUCGUCAAUGGCUAUCUGGCAAUGGAAUCCAAUGAGGGUCCAUCAUGUUCAAGAUGUCUUCAUCACCCCAAAGAUAUCGGUCGAAGCCAUUGAUAAUGGAGCUAGGCUACCUAGGACCAACAUUUGAAGGGCAAGUUGACAGGUUUCAUCCAGGCUUUGUAUGUAAUCUAUGAGCAGCUAACGUUGUUGUAGGGGUUCCAGUUGUAACACCUUAGUUGGCAAUGCUGAAGUCUGACAACCUCCUUUCUAAUGAGCUCCUCCGAGUGAACCUAUUAAGGUAAGAAAUCACAAAAUCCUUCUCUCGAUAAUGGGCUACAUGGAAGUCACCGGAGAGCCCGCCGAAUCUGAAAGCGAAAUCAUUCGCAAUCAUUUCUUAGGGGCAGUGACCAAGAUUAGCUGGCCCAAUAAUGUUAGCUAACAUGGCGUUUUGACACAAUUACUAGCAGAAACGAAACCCUUUCGUCAGCAAAACAAAAACCUUCAUCGAGGGAGGACGGAACCACAAUGCCCUUUGCAUCUUCUCCUUAACUGAAUCUCUUCGUUUGCGACGAAAACAUGCAGGGUGGCCCAACCUAAAACACAAUGUGUAUCUCAGAGAAUCUCCGCACUCCCUAAUUCUGUUAUCCUUAGCAAGACAUCUAAAGCAUCUGCUCAUUGAUGUUGAACUUCUCAGGGGAGCCUUUCUUCUUGGCUGCGAAGAGAUGUUCUCAUCACACAUGUUAUUUUACUCAAUUUUCAAUACUUUUUGACAUCUUACAAGUAGCCUUUUCUGUAGUAUUUUCAUGUCGAAUUUUCGUGUGUUCUCUUCCUUGGUGCUUUCUGUGUACCUAUAAGCAAGAUAGCCAAUAAAAUAACAACAGAUUUCUAUUAUAUGAUAGCAUAUAAUCUAGCCAUUUUCACUUCACCACUAAUACAUCAAGAUGGUGCAUUAAUAUGAUCACAAGAUCUAAUAAUUAUCAAUAUUUUUCUCUUAAAAGGCAUAAUUUAUAAAGAUAAACUCUCAUUAUUAGAUUUUUCAAAUAUCAACUUUGUCAAACCAAUGCUAUAUAGGCUGGAAAAAUUUCGAUACAUGCUAUAUUUAUUUUUGGGUUAAUUUCAUACAGAUCCCUACAAACAUAGUGAAUUGUAAAAAUAUUCAUAUAAAGUUCAACUUUUAUAUGUUCUUUUUGUAAAAGUUCUAAUAUUUUCAAAUAUGUUCCCGUCGUUGGAAUCUGUUAAAAAACUUUAGUUAUAUAAUAAUAGAUUAAGUACUUAAUCCUGGUUAGUUUAUGAAAUACUUGAUAUUUUUACCCUCUUAUAUUAUACUGUUGUGGUUUUUAGAGGGACAUAUUUGUGUUAGCAAAAUUGACAUUUCACUUAAAAUAUAAACAAUUCUAUAACGAUAACAAACUAGAGGGAUAUAUUUGAAAAUAUUAGAACUUUUGUAGAGACAUGAAAGUUGAACUUUGUAGGGAUAUAUGUAUAACUCAGUAUAUUUGCAGGGAUCUAUAUGCAUUUUAACCAUUUAUUUUUUUCUACUGCUGGUCACAUUAUGUUGGUAUAAAAGUGUCAUGUUUGGCUUUUUUUUUUCUUUUUUUAUUUUAUUUUAUAAAGUAAACAAGGUUACAGGGAGCAUAGAAAUCCUCUGAAAUGAAAUAAAAUUGAAAGAAAAAUUAUGAUUACAAAGAUACAAUUAGAUCUAGAUCUGAACAGUUCCUCGAUCCCUCCCAACUAAAAUAGACACUUCAGAAACCAUCCUAACUCCUACAUAAAAUCAAAAUAAAUCAAGAGCAACCCCACUUGAUGAAAAACAUUCAAAAAUAGAUUUAUAACCACAAUGGUUUUUAAAAAAAAUAAUACAGCCCUAAUUAAAUAACUUGAUAAAUAAUUGGUCCCUAAUGUUGGACUCUUUCCUUUACCAUCAUGUUUUCAUUUGUGUAUUUUGAGGAAGAGCCGUUAAUGUUGCCUGUACACUUCUAAACUAGAUAUAAAAGCUGCAUUUCAUUCAUCCUAGGACUAUUAUUUUCCUACUAAUUUUAUCAACCUUUUGCUUUUAAAUAUUAAAAAAUCAAAAUAGUUUUAUAAACUCUUGGAUGGAGAGGUAUAAGAUUUAUACCUAUAUAUAAGAUUUGCAGGCAACAUUUUACAGUUGUAUAUAGGUGUGCAGGUAACAUGCUAGAAAGAUAGCACUCUUUUUUUGGCCAUUCCUACCGCUAGUGGCAAACAAUUUGUUACUCAAGGGCGGAAAUUUGAAUCCUAGUUGUAACGACCUGACCCGCUAGUAGCAAUAACUCGUUGGGCCCAAACCACUGGUCCAAAAUGCUUAAACCUAGGAUUUCUUUUACUAGCGUGUAGGCCUCAUUUAUUAUAAUCAGGGCGUUACAAACUCUUCCUAUUUAGACCCUUACGUUCUCGUCGGGUCCAAAGAAGAUUACAGAUACAGACUAGAAUUACCAAGCGAUAUGAGAUUCUAGAGGUAGCUCCUACGAGUUCAAGAGGUGGCUCCCACCAAAUCCGUUGGUAUAGCAUUUUGUUCCGUAUAACACUUAACUCUCACAUGUCUGGCUAGUUUUUGGCUCUGAUAUCAAUUGUAACGACCUGACCCGCUAGCAAUAAUAACUCAUUGGAUUCAAACCACCGGCCCAAAAUUUUCAAGCCCAAUUUUUUUUUACUAGCGUGUAGGCCUCAUAUAUUCUAAUCAGAAUUAUUUUUCCUUACGAUGUGAAACUAUUGGGGCGUUACACUAGUUGCUUUACAUUUCCAGAUAAGUUUAUUUUUGAAAACAUGAACAAAGUAAAUAGUAUGCUAUAUACCAUUCUCUUUCUCUCUCAAAAAAAAAGUAUGUGUACACCCAAAAUAUAGAUAUAAAUCUUACAUCCUACUAAUGCAAGAGCUAAUACUUUUACGCUAGUCUUAUCAAUUUAUUUUAUAAUAUUAAAAAUCUAAAAAGGUUAUCUAAACAUUUGGAUAGGUGGGUGUAAGAUUUAUAUCUUAUUUUUGAAUGUACAAGUAGAAUUUCUUUUAUAUAUAUAUUUUUUUCAAAGCUUUUCUUUGAGUGCUUCUCCAACAAAUUAAGAUUGCUUUUCAAUAAGAAUAUGAAAGAGUGAUUUUAUGACAUCGACUUUAAGUACUCUUAACAAAAUAAUCCACAAUAAGAAUGUGAUUUUGCACUAGCUCGAUCAGCGAAAGAUUUCCUAGCAUUUUCCUUCUUUUGUUACUUUUUCGUUUAACGUGUCUACUUGCAUUCACACAAGGCCCUAAAUAUUCAAGCAUACAUAGGAUUAGUUGGCUUCAUGUGUACGUAUCUCAAAUCAAUCAAUACAAGGAUUUUUUUUUUUUUUCUUUCUGAGAGAAUGAUAGCAUAUUAUUAGAUUCGUUUACUUUAUUAAUACAAAUACAUAAAACGAUGUUUGUUGUAAUCUCUUCUUACUUUAGGAGAAUUAUGGGCCUCACGUGUGGAGAAACUAUUGCCUCCGGAUAGUCCACCUAUAAAGCACAUUCACUGUAGCUAAUUUUUUAUGAUUAAUAUUUUAAAAUUAAUCUAAUUUCGUACGUGGGAUCUGUAUAUAUACAUUAACUAUUCAAGCGUAGGAUUGGUUAGCUUCUUAUGAUCUAAAGUAUUUAUAUAUAUAUAUAUAUAUAUAUAGAGUUGAGCUAGAAUACUAUCGGUAGUAAAUGAGCCGUUUUACUACCGAUUUGUUUUCGAUGAUAGAGUUUCCAAAUUGACGAUCAGCUCCGUUAAAUAUGAUCUAAACCAUUUAAACUACCUAGAAAUCAAAUUUCACGCACUUUCGAUAUUGUUCUUUUAUCCAUCAAGUGAACAGAAAAAUGAAUGGCUGAAAAUGAAUACUCUUUAAAAAAUGAUGAUAGGAGUCUUGUAAUCAAGAACAAGAGUAUAGAUCUUNGAAAAUUGAUUUCUAAACACUUCAAGCGGUAUAGAUCAUGUUCAACGGAGCCGAUCGUCAAUUUGGAAGUUCUAUCAUCGAAAACAAAUCGGUAGUAAAACGGCUCGUUUACUACCGAUAGUAUUCUAGCUCAACUCUAUAUAUAUAUAUAUAUAUACACACACAAAAAAAAAGAAAGAAGGGUAGGUUAGAUUUGGUCCAAUUGUUCAAGGCCUAUGUGUAGGCAAAGUCAUAAGGCUAUAUAGAGAAUAAUAGUAGGUAAAGCCACAAGGGCCAAGAAAGGGUCACAUUCAUUCUUAAUUGGAAAUGCGUGUGGAGAGAAAAAUGGUUGGGUAUUGACAAAAACUGGGCUCAUAUGUUCUAAAUGUAGGGCCAUUCAGGAAAAGGUUAGAUCCUAUUGGUAGAUUUUUUUUUUUUCUUUCUAUCUUUUUAAUUGUAUGCUGAGGCUUAAAGGGCAGUAGUCAAUUGUACCUAACCAAACUUGGAGGCUUGUGAAGGGUGUUUCCACUGGAUGCUUUCUUUGAUUGCAAUGUGUACUUAUAGAAGAAAAUAUACAGUGUUUAAGGAAGAGAAAAGGAUGAGUACACCAUUUCAGAGAGAACAUUGAUCCAUAUUAUAAGAAUAUUUUCUAUGUGACCAAUUCCCUCCCUAGCUAGUAUGAUAUAUGAGCUCACCCUUUCAGUUUGUGGAGAUAAUUGUUAUAAAUUUUUAUAAGUGAUACCUAAUGAGUUGAAUCUUCAUCUAUGACCCGUUUUAUCGGUGCCGCCUAUUUAUUUUCUUCUUGGUGCUAAUUAUCCAAUUACAAUGUGUUCUUAGGAGAAAAUGUGAAAUAUUUAGCUUUUAACAAGUGGAAAGAAAAGGCACCAGUUCAAAGAGAACAUGAGCAAUGUGAUAUUAAGAUGACUAAAUUACAGAAAACCUCUUCUGGCAAUAUUCGCUUUUUUACUUUUUCUCCCUAUCAUUCAAAAAAUCUACACUUUACCUCCUUAUAAAAUAAAAAAUGUUCACUUUGGCCCCCGCUGUCAAUGUUCCGUUAGGGUUUCGUUUAUAUCCUAUUUUUUAUAUCCAAAAUACCCCUGAAACUCUCAUCCUUCCUAACCGACCUCGGCCGCGCCGCCUCGCCCUCGCCCACUUCUCUGUUCAUGCCCACACAUACACCCUCGCCGCCUCCGCCACCUCACCCUCGCCCUCGCCCACCACUCCGUCCACGCCCACCCCGAAGAAGACGAGGGCAAUUUUGUCAUUUUAGCAGUGUACCCCUUGUAAAUAUUUCAUUUUAUAAGGAAACAAAAUGUAUGUUUUUGAAGAAUAGGGAAGGAAAGUAAAAAAACAAGUAUUGAUAGAGAGAUUUUCUGUAAUUUAGCCUAUUAAGAAAUGUUAUAUAUAUCAACUUUACAGUGACACAAUAUUAGAGCUGGUCCUUUGCCCUCUCAGCUCUUUGCGCUUAUUUAGAUGCAUGAAUAUCUUAUUCAACAUAUUUCUUUUAUUUAUAUAAAAAAAGUUUGUAGUGAUAUACAUCUAGGAGUAUGAUCAGCAUGUGUAGAAAGCUAUAUAUACCAUAUGGAACCUUUUAAGUCAGUUUUUUAGAAUACUAUAAAUGAUCUCAUGAGUGUAACGAUACCACCAAAUUUUAGAUAUAGAGUCCUUCCGAAAAGUCAAAAACAAACUUAUAACUCACGAUCAGUUUCUAAUGCAUAAGAUAUUAUAAGAAAACUUGUACUGAUAUUCAAUAGUGUUAUAACAUAUUAGACUCGAUAAGCAACUUUGUAGAUUGGAACCUUCUUGUUGUUGAAAUUGUUAAAGAUAAUGCUAAUGAGAUUAUGAUUAGAUUAUUUGAUCUUAUCCAUUAUUCGGUUAUGGUUAAGAUAUAUUCGGUUAUUAUUAAGAUGAAAUCGAAUCAGAGUAGGAUUCUAUGUAAUUAGCUAUAAAUAGAUAGGCCGGAAUUAUUUGGUUAAUGAAGCCGGGAGUCAUCAUAAUUAUUUAGUGCUUGCCGAAGGUUGCAUACGGUGAUAAAUUAUUUUCUUCAAUAAAGUUAUUUUUACUUUUGCUUCCAUGACAACGUACCAAAUUCUUUGAUUCGUCUUCUUCCUCUCUUGUCUUUUCUAUUUUACUUUUUGUGGGGAUCUAUAUAUACCAUAACAUGUAUAUAGAACGUAUUUAUUGGAGGCCCACCACCGUAACAAGUAGUAUCAGACCUUGGAUUUCGAGAGGAGAAGGUGUCGAUGGCGUUUAACAGCGCUAACAGAGUUGCACAAGGAUUUUCGAUAUUCAAGGGGGACAAUUAUGAUUUUUGGUGGGUGAAGAUGUGAACAUUGCUGUGAUCCUAAGAUUUUGGGAUUUUGUCGAAAAAGGAUGCAAGGAAACAACCGGAGAGAAUCUAAAAAAGGAUGCAAAGGCGCUUUUCUUUAUUCAGCAAUCAGUUGACGAUUCGAUAUUUUUCCACAUUGCCGGUGCUACUCGAUCGAAGGAAGCAUGGGAUAUAUUACAAAAGGAAUACCAAGAUAACGAAAAGAUACUCAGAGUUAAGAUUCAAACUUUAAAAGAAGAUUUGAAGCUUCUUUUAUGCAAGAAAAUAAAAAUAUUCAUACUUUUUAUUUUAGAGUUAUGAAAUUAGUUAUCUUGAUGCGUACCUAUGGUGAACAGAUUAUGUAAAGACCCAGUCCACCAGCAAUAAUAACUCGUUGGACCCAACCACCGGCCCAAAAUGCUUAAGCCCAAUUAUUAUUACUAGUGUCUAAGUCUCUUAUAUAUUCAAUCGCAUCCUCAUUCCUAUCCGAUGUGGGAUUAUUGGGGUGUGACAGACUCCCUCUGUUAAGGCCCUGACGUCCUCGUCAAUCCAAUCACACACACAACCCAAGAUCACCAGGCGAAUAAUCCCACAUCGGAUAGAAAUGGAAAUAUGAUUGGGUAUAUAAGAGACUUAUACAUUAGUAAUAAUAACUGGGCUGAAGCAUUUUGGGUUGGUGUUUGGGCCCAACGAGUUAUUAUUGCUAGUGGGCUAGGUCGUUACAGAUUACUGAUCAAACAGUAGUCGAAAAAAUUUUAAAAAGUCUAACGAAAAAAUGUGGUGAUGUUGUUUCUGUCAUAGAAGAGGCAAAAGAUUUAUCUAAACUAUCUAUCUUGUAUCGAACUUUUUGGUUCUUUUUUAGCACAUGAGGAACGAAAAGAUAGAACUGAAAAUUUUUCUGAGCAUGGUUUUCAAAGUGAAUCGAAAAGCGAUGAAAAAGAUGGUGCAGAUUCUUUUAAUUGUCAAGGUUCAACAUAUAGUGGACAUGAUAGAGGCCGUGGUCGUGGUGAGGGCAGAGGCCGCGGAGGUAGAUCGGGUGAUUUCAACAACAGAAACGAUGAAAGAUCAGGUAAUUAAAAUCAGAGAACCUACGGAGGUAACGAUCAAUCCCGCAAUCGUAAAAAUAUUCAAUGUUAUUAUUGUAAAAAAUUUGGCCAUAUCAAGCGUUUUUGUCGAUUGAAACAACAGAAUGCAAAUUUUAUUUAUGAAAAGAAUGAAAACGAUAAUAUACUUUUUGCAUGUCGUUCAUUAGAAAAAACUGUUAACAAUAUUUGAUAUGUCGAUAGUGGUUGUAGCAGUCACAUAAGAGGAAAAGAAGAAAACUUUAUUAAUUUGGACAAAUCAGUUAAUGGCCGCAUGACAAUGGGUGACGGCUAUGUCCAUGACGUGUACGGAAGAGGUACAAUUACGGUAAAUAUUAAUGCAAAAAAUAAAUAAUGUCUUAUAUGUUCCAGGAUUGAAUUCCAAUUUUUUUAGUGUGGGUCAAUUUUUGAAAGAAGAUCAUUCGCUUAUUUUUGAAGAUUCUAAGCGCACAAUUUAUGGAGAUAAGAUAAAAAGAAUUUACUUUUUGUAGUUCUGAUGACAGAAAAUAAAGUUUUUCCUAUUCAUGUUGCAAUGAAAGUAGUGCUAGAUGAUGAUUGGUUAUGGCACUAUCGAUAUGGUCACUUGAGUUUUAAGGGACUUGAUCUAUUACAUAAAAAGAAUAUGGUUGAUGAUUUACCUUUGGUGCAUAAUAAUGAUUCUGAAUGUGAAAGAUGUGUACUAGGAAAGCAUCACAGGGACUCUUUUCCCCGAAAGAGCAAUUUGAGAGCCAAAAAACUAUAAGAAUUGAUACACGCAGAUGUUUGUGGACCGAUGCAGACACCGUCGCUCAACAACAAUUACUAUUAUGUAGUUUUCGUGGAUGAUUAUAGCCGGAUGACUUGGGUGUAUUUUAUCAAAAAUAAAUCCGAAGCUUUUAAUGUUUUUCAGAAAUUUAAAAAUUUGAUUUAGAAUGAAUCUUGUUAUUAUAUUAGGACCCUCCGUACAUAUUAAGAGGGAGAAUUUAUUUCUAACAAGUUUGAAAAUUUUUGUAAAGAAGGUACUCACAGGCAGUUGACAACCAGUUACACGCCUUAGCAGAAUGGUAUUGCAGAGCGCAAAAAUCGAAGUUUAGUCGAGAUGGCAAAAAGUAUGUUGAAAGCGAAAAAUCUCCCAAACAAAUUUUGGGCAGAAACGGUAUCUACCGCAGCAUAUAUUCUCAAUAGAAGUCCAACUUUAGCGCUGGAGAAUAUUACACCUUAUGAAGCAUAGACCGGCUGGAAACCGAAGGUAAAACAUUUUUAAAUUUUUGGAUCGGUUUCUUUUAUUCAUAUUCCAUCACAAAAUAGGCAAAAAUUGAAUGAUAAUAGUCAGAAGUGUAUUUUUAUUGGAUAUAGCGAAAGAAGUAAAGCCUAUCGAUUUUAUAAUUCUGUUACUAACUCUUUAAUUAUAAAUCGUGAUGAUAUAUUUUGAUGAACAAAAAGCUUGGGAUUGGAGCGCAAAAGUGCAGAAUAAUCCACUUCUGAUACUUGAAAAUGAAACUGCAACUAAAAAAAAAAACAAUGGUGAAAGUACGAUACGUACGGAAACAACACCACAAGCUUCACCGCGAAUUUCACCAGAAACUUCUCGAGAGACAACGCCAAGAAAAGUAAGAUCACUUAGUGAAAUAUACGAGCAGUGCAUGUACUCACAAUGUGGAGAAUCACAAAACUUUGAAAAGACGACAAAGCCUAAUGAUUGGUAUAAGGCGACGAAUAAAGAAAAUGCGGCGUUAAGGAAAAAUAAUAUCUACGAGUUUGUUGAAUCGCCUAUAGAUAAAGAAGUUGUUGGAUUUAAGUGGAUAUAUAAGGCGAAAAGGAUAUUGAGAUAUUUGAAAAGAAAAGGAGACCUCCGGUUGUGGUAUAUUAACCCUAACGAUUUUUAUUUUGGUUGUUUUAAUAGUGAUUGGACAGGUUUAGUUGAUGAUCAAAAAAGUACGAGAAGGGUUCGAGUUGAUACACUACGCAACCAAGGAGCCGAUGGCCGAUAUUUUCAUAAAGUCGCUAACAUUGGAGAAAUUCAUAUUUUGCCGAGAGAAGAUCGGUGUGAAGAACAUUAGCAUUAUAGGGGAGUGUUAAAGAUAAUGUUAAUGAGAUUAGAAUUAGAUUAUUUGAUAUUAUCCAUUAUUCGGUUAUGAUUAAGGUAUAUUCGGUUAUUAUUAAGAUGAAAUCGAAUCAGAGUAGGAUUCUAUGUAAUUAGUUAUAAAUAGAUAGAUCGGGAUUAUUUAGUUAAUGAACCCGGGAGUCACCAUAAUUAAUUAGUGCUUGCCGAAGGUUGUAUAUGGUGAACAGUUAUUUUCUUCAAUAAAGUUAUUUUUAGGUUGCUUUCAUGACAAUGUACUAGAUUCUUUGAUUUGUCUUCUUCCGAUCUCUUGCCUUUUUUAUUUUACUUUUUGUGGGGAUCAUUAUAUAUCAUAAUAAGUAUAUAGAACAUAUUUGUUGGAGGCCCACCGCCGUAAGAAAAAUGCACCAACAGAAAUUCGAACCCUCAGGAUUUGAGUUGUGAUAAGGCCAUUUGAAAAAAUAUCCCUCAGGGUAGAUCUUGUUCUUGGAGCCAUGAAUUGCAAGCUCUCUAUAAGCUUUUGCAGCAACCAAUCCAGGAUGUGACCUAAGCCAUGUUCUCUUCCUAAUCUGGCCCAUCCAUGAAGUGACUGCCACUACUGGAUUGAAGCUAUUCCAGAUGCACUGAAAGUGACACCCCAGUACUUGGACCCCAAACUUUCUUGCUUUUGAUUUUUUUUUUUUUUUUUUUUUUUUUACUAUUGCUUAUUUGAUAAAACGUGAUCGCUCGAUCUGAUUAAUUAAAUUAGUUUUUUUUUAUAAAUCCGAGCUUCUUCCCUCUUAUAUGUAAAGGCAACUUGCAUUUUAUAUCCCUGCCUCCUUGAGCCGAGCUCGGGAGCAAGCUGAGCCCAGAUUGAGUUCGGUUAUUGUUUAGCCAAACAAGCUUUAGGCUGCGUUUGAUUAAAGAACUAAAUUUUGGAGAAUAACUUUUGUUGUUUUUUAGAACAGGAGAUAUUUCGGUACAAGAUAGAAUAAUUGUAAAUUUGUGUUUGGAUGCAUUUGGGAAUAUUCAAGAGGAUAUCUUUAGUAGAGUUUGGAUAAAAAGUCUAGAACAAUGCCUAAAUAUAUUUUUAAAACUAAAAUAAUUAAUUUAUAUUAGUAUAUUUUAUAUAAAUUAUUUAUAAAAUUAUUUCAUAUUGUAAUAUAUAAUAUAAUUAUUUAUGUAACGGUUUAAUUUAAAAUAGCAUAUUUAUUUUAUUAUAUAUAAUAAUUUAUUUUAUGUAAUAAUUUAUUAUAUAUAAAUUAUUCAUAAUAUAUGUAAUGAAUAAAGUAUAAUACUAACAAUAUCCUAAUAAUACUGAUCGUCCCUAGAGCAAGUGGCAAAGGGCUUGGUGGUUGGUAUUCGAGACCCAAGUUCGAAUCCUAGUUGAUUCACAUUUCUAGCUAAGUUUAUUUCUAAAUGAAAUAAACGAAACGGGUAGCGUGCUACCUAUCUCUCAAAAANNNNNNNNNNNNNNNNNNNNNNNNNNNNNNNNNNNNNNNNNNNNNNNNNNNNNNNNNNNNNNNNNNNNNNNNNNNNNNNNNNNNNNNNNNNNNNNNNNNNNNNNNNNNNNNNNNNNNNNNNNNNNNNNNNNNNNNNNNNNNNNNNNNNNNNNNNNNNNNNNNNNNNNNNNNNNNNNNNNNNNNNNNNNNNNNNNNNNNNNNNNNNNNNNNNNNNNNNNNNNNNNNNNNNNNNNNNNNNNNNNNNNNNNNNNNNNNNNNNNNNNNNNNNNNNNNNNNNNNNNNNNNNNNNNNNNNNNNNNNNNNNNNNNNNNNNNNNNNNNNNNNNNNNNNNNNNNNNNNNNNNNNNNNNNNNNNNNNNNNUAUAUAUAUAAUAUUUAAUAUAAAAAAUAAAUAAAUAUUAAUAUAUAAAUAAUAAAACUUAAUAAAAUAAAUAAUAUAUUAAAUUUAAUUAAUUUAUAUUAUAUAAUAAAAUUUAAGUAUAAAUAUAUUAUCAUAAAAAUACUAUUUAUAUUAAUAUAUUUAUUUAUUUAUCUAAUAAAAUAAAAAGAGUAAUAAAGUUGUUCUGAGUUUUUCUAGGAAUAAAUUUUUAACGAAUUGUUUCAAAACAACCCAUUUUGAAUUGGACAACCCGUUCCAAGUUCCGCUGGCAUUUGGUACAAAUUGGAGGAUAUUUUUCUUUGUUUCGGGAUAUCAUGCGUGCCAAAGGCAGCUUUAGAGCUCAGGAUUCUAUGCAACACUUUUGACACCCUUAAUGUGGCACCACUCUUCUUUCAGAAUCUCAGAAAUUAAUGACGUACCGGUUAUAAUGAUCACUUCUCAGAUGCUUUGGAUGUUGUCACUUAAUUUUCAAACUUUUAAUUUUAGAAUCUAAAUUGUUGUAUAAACUAUUUCUAGCAUAAGUGACUAAAGGCUUGUUGAUUAGUACCUGUGAUUUCAAAUUCGAAAACUAAUUAUUUUACAUUUCUGAAAUGGAUGAAGCAAGUAGAAUGCUACCUAUGUUUCUCAAAAAAAAAAAAAAAACUUUUGCAUGUUUUGCAAACUCAUCCCUAACCUUCAGUAUAAAUCUACUGCUUCGAAAAAGAACAUCUUUUUUUUUUUCUUCUUUUUUUUCUUUUUUUUUGUAAAAUAACUUCCUUCUUGAACUUUGAUUGAAAUGGGGCUAAAAAAAUUAUUUGAUGAAAAUAUUCAACUAGCUUCAAUUUUUCUUAAUUUCUUGUUAUGAUUUUUUUCUUUGAGAAAAAGAUAGUUAUAAGCUGUUUGUUUGAUUAAAUUUUUUAAAAAUAAACUUAACUAAAAAUGUGAUACAAUUAGAUUUCAAAAAUUGAAACCUUGAAUAUGAACUAUAAAAUCAUUAGUAAAUUGCACAUGGCAUGGUUGAUAAUUUUUUAUAAGGGUCAAUUUCAUUUGUGCCCCUCUAAACUUCUAAAAUUUUUUACAAAAGUAUUUUAGCAUGAUAUAUUUAUUUUAAAAUAUUAAAAUAAACAGUAAAAUAUAUAUCAUUUUACUGCCGUGUGGUUUAUAAAAUAAGAUGCUAAAAUGAGAUACUUUAUAUCAUUUAUUUUAAAAUUCGAGAUGCCAAAGCACAGAAAUUUGUGCUAGUUCAAAUAACUUAAUUUACAUCAUGCAUAUAUAUUUAAGUUAUAGUUUGAAUAAAUUGUUUAACCUUACUUUAAGGAGUCAAUUGAUAUUUAAUGUAGGUUAUUUAUAAAUUUAAAAGAGUGUUUAUAAAAGUAUAAAUGAUUUUAUAGUCAAUUAAAUAUUUUAAGAUGGUAAUGACAAUAAGGGCAAAUUUGGAAUUUUGUUUGUUGUUUAUUCAAAAUUGAUAAUAAAUUAGUAUAAAGGUUAUUUUGAAAGUUUCUCUCUUUUAAUAGGUUAUUUAUGAUAUUUCAAUUUUUAUAGGGGCAUUCAUGAUAUUAAACUUAUUUGGAAGGGUAGUGAUGAAAUUUUCCCUUUUUAUAAUGUUCGGUGUUAGAAUUACUGUAUAUGGGAAAGUUCAACUGAGAAAUGGGGACUGAAGAUUUUCUCUUUAGUGCUCAGCUAUCUAAUAGAUAACAUUAUUUGUUAACCUUAAUUGCACGUAUUUUUGCAUGACAGUUUCUAAUUUUUUAAUUUUUUGCAUAUAAAUGUUGGAAAUUUGAUGCUCGCCCUAAUACUGAAAUUUGAGAAUCCACAACUCGCCUUGAUAACUAUUGCUGUUGACCCGAUACUCGAUCCAGUACCGAUUGUUGAGAUUCUGCAACGAAAACGUCAAAUCGAAUUUUUACCCUAAAUUGCAGUCACAAAAGAGAAAAAAAAUAAAUAGAAAAAGCGGAUGAAAUAAGAUUCAUUAAUCAAAAGAAGAAUUACAUAUGACUUCUUUUCUAUACAGAGUUGCUUUAACCCGAGCUCUCUUUCUAAAUUUCUCCCACCCUUCUCUCGUUUUCUAUAAAUCCAAGUAUGCAUCCAUGCACAAUGUACACCAACACUACAACAGAAUUAGAUUAUAGGGACACAUGUUUGGGACACUUUUGUCUAAGUGUCCCAUUUAUGUCAAAAUUUUAAAAUACAUCUACUAAUGCCUAAAUAUAAAGCCGAAUCCAACAAAAAAUAUGAUGUUACUAUACUCAACCCACCCAACCCAGCCCAUUUGGCCCGAUUCCAAAUAGAAAAAAAGAAAAAGAAAAAUCGAUUACCAUCUCCCCUUCUCUCCUCACUCAAUCCACUGAAAUUCUAGACGAAGGGCCCUUCCCUGUCGUCCUCCUCCGCCACCGCAGCCAACGAGGUAGAGUCCCGGCUAUUGCUAGAUGCUUAAAUAAGUGUUGCUAAAUUAGCAGCACUUUUUUAGGUUAUAGCGACACUCUUUAACUGUCACUAUAUACCUAGCGACCCCACAUAUAGCAACAAUUUUUAAAAGUGUCGGUAAUUUAGCCAGCAGCACUUUUUUUGACCUAUACCGACAUUUAAAAGUGUCGCUAUAGAUCGUUUUUGUUGUAGUGCAAUGACACAUGGCCACAAAAGCCGCACAUGUUCUCUUGCACCCAUAUACUUGGUGAAUUCAAAAUUGUGACCACAGAGGCCAUGCCAUAUGGGUAAGGCUAAGCUGCACCACAGCCACAAAAAAAAAUAGCAUAAACAAAUUCUAAUCCAAUUAGAUUCCUACUCUAAUUAAUAUUUAAAUCUUAAAUAAUUUAUCUCCAACAUAUUUAAAUAUUUAUCAUAAUCUAACAUUCAACUACAAAUAUAACCAAAAUCCUAAUAAUCUCCUCCUUGAUUUGAUUUGUAGUCUUUAGCUGUUGCGUCGAGCUCAUAAUUCAACUCUACCUUGAGCUUAUCUACUCCACUCGAUAUCGCCACAUUCGUCGCUCCAUCUUUUGUGACUGCGCCUCCAUGAACUUUUAGUAUCCAAAUUGGCUUUGCUCUCAUUCUGACCAUGCUUCCAUUUAGAAUGUACAAGUUUUCGUGUUUGUUCACCUCGCACACGGCCUAAUCUUGCUUUCGGACCCUCAUAACCCCACAUGAAGCUAAAAUAUUGCAAUCCUUUGAGCCCAAUGCAUCCAAAAGAUCAAAUUGUGCUUUAAACAUCGAUCACUCCAAAGGAUCGGUACCAUGCUCUAACAUCGAUCUUCUACAAGGAUCGAUAAGCCAGUGCUUUGACGUCAAUCUCUCUUGAGAUCGGCAACCCAAUGCUUUGACGUCAAUCUCUCCAGUGGAUUGAAAAAACCUUAAACUUCGAUACUGCAUGCCCCGGAUUACACGUUCCCCAGGCACGCCGACAAAUCCGCCGUACACAAAGGAAUUUUUCCUAUAUACGAAGCGUAGCUGUAACUGUAACAAAUACAAUAUUACAACCAGUAGUAUAGAGCUGCUCGAAUAAAACUGGUAUAAACAGGAACAAGUUCCAUAUAUAGACAUACAUCCAGGUAUACAAAAAAAGCUCGCCCAGCGAGAUACAACCAGUAUGUAUAAGAAACUCAAAAACUGACACUACCUGCAGCUGGUAACCUCUCGAACAGCAGCAACUCGGAAGGGCUCUAACUGGCAACGCCCUUGCCACGAUCAGUCUUUGAGGAAACAGCAGCCGAAACAGCAGGCUCUGCAAAAAUAGGGUAACAACUGGGCGUGAGAACUACUGUAAAAAUAAGUAGUCCUCAGUGGGUACCGCCCUCAAUAUCGUCGGUCCACCCACCAAGUCUACAGAAGGAAGCAAAGAUAGUAGGAAAAACUGGAAGGAAUCUACAGCUAAAUGCCACUACACUAUCCUGUUCUACACUAACUAACUGUAAUAAAAGUCAAUCCUGACCCAAUCUCACCAGGAACUGUAAGCAUACCCGUCCCUGGGACUGUGAACACACCUGUCCUGCCCAGUUGUGACUAUACAGCUACCUCCACGCUAAGCAGUCACUGGAGAGCGAGUCCAACCUGCACUAACGACACCAACGCAAAAGCACAGCGCGCGCCUCCGGAGUGGCACUCGUGGGAGCUACCCAACCGAGUAUGCAAGCGUAUCUCUGUCGAGCUAAAUAAGACUCUCACAAGCCAAAGUCAAGUAAAUCAAAUCCAACUGGUCUAACAACCAACAGGUCACGUGCCCUCGGCACAAUCUGACGCCAAAACGGCGAUAUGGGUUCACCGUCAACCCUAACGGCACCCAACAGUUCGGAACAGUCUGAGCGCUACUGUAAAAAUACAUUCGGCAUCUCAGCAUGAGCGUAACUGAAAUCUAAACUAUCUGGGGUAUCCACCACACCGAUAUUGCGGCGAUACAAAAUAACAACGGCUCUUAGAGCUAAAUCAGGUAGUUUAAACAUAUGACAGGUCAUAAUCGCAGUUUUCUCCUAAGUCAUAUCCAAGUCCAACAUGUGCAAGUUGAUAGUCACAGUAUUAAGCUCAAAUUCAGAUUCUACAUGUAAAUAUGCCAAAACUCAUGAACCGAGCAAUCUCUAUCAACGAAUCAACACAACAACACAUGCCGACAAUCUAUAUACUUAGAAGAUAAACCGACGAUUAACCCACCUCAAACGCUAACUCCAAAUCCGGUGCGACGUCAAGAACGGCGGAAAUCCACGCUCGCCCGGCCUCCCAACGCAGCCACCACGAUGCUCGCGUGCUCGAACGGCUCCGCGGCGCGACGUCGGCGUCGAUCCGAGCUCCAACGGCAACUCUACCUGAGCUCCACCUCAACCGGACCAAGCUAGAGAGAGAGAGGGAGUGAACCAGGCAAAAUCUCCUCUCAACUCUCCCUCACACCUGUAUAUAGUAGUGGAGAGGUGGGUGAAACAAACGAGGUGAGAAAAGACACAUUUGCCCUCUUACCUACCCUGGUGUACCGGUACACGCAAGGUUGUACCGGUACAAAUGGUAACCCGAGAGCAGCUGCGCAUGAUCUGACAAAGUGUACCGGUACGCCCUGAUGGUUAUAUCGAUACAGAAAGUGUACCUGUACGCCUUGAUGGUUGUACCGGUACAACAAGCAGAGAAUCUACAAUUUGCAGAGUCCAAUGCUAAGUCCUGCUCUUGCGUCCCCGCUAAGUCCGUUUUGUAUCUAUUUCGCGCCAACGCGACUCAGACUUGUCCCGACACUCUCCAAAGCUGUCGAUAAGCCUCUCCUGCUGAACAUNUUUGCGUCUAUUUCGCGCCAACGUAACUCGGACUUGUCCCGACACUUUCCAACGCUGCCGACAAGCCUGCACUGCUGAACUCCAGGGAUACCACAGAUACCAAUUGUCGGGAAUCUAGCAAUCGCCUUGAUACUAUAUUUUUGAGAAUCUGUAACUCGCUUUGAUACCUAUUGCUGUUGACUCAGGACGUGCUUCCGUACCAAUUGUUGGAAUUCCACAACAGAAGAAUCAAAUUAGGUUUUACCAUAAACUACAAUCAUAAAAGAAAAAAUAAAUAAACAGAAAAUAUAGGUGAAAUAAGAUUCAUUAAUUAAAAAAAAAAGAAUUAUAUCUUACUUCUCUACACAGAGUAGCUUUAACCCAAUUCAUCUUUUUAAAUCUCUUUUACUCUUCUCUCGUUUUUUAUAAAUCCAGAUGACCUCUCUCUUAUCUUGUGCACCCAUGUACAAGGUAUAUGACUGACACAUGGUCACGAAAAUCGCAUACAUCCUCUUGCGUCAAUACACUAGGUGCAUCCAAAAUUAUAACCAUCUUGGCCAUGCCAUAUGCGUGUGGCUAACGGGAAUGGCUUGGGUCCAAGGUGCUAUUGAAGGAGAAAGAGAGAAAGAGACUUGUAGAGGGUCUUUGGACAAGCUACAGCGGCUGGGACUGGUCACCGGAGGUUGAGGGUGUGCCAACGGGGGUAUGGAAGGAGAUGUUGGCAGUUGGGUGGGUAAGGAAGGAGGAGAGAGGGAUUAGGGCUAAUCAAACCCUAAAUGCAUUAUAUGUAGUUUUUGCAAAAUUAUGCAUAACUCCCUAUAUCUUCAAAUUUUCAACUUCAGCCCCUGGCUGUACAUGUAAUAUGCGUGGUAGCACCUCCCCUUACAAUUUUGCGUGAUUCAGUACAUAAAAAAUACCACGCCUUAAAAAAAAUCUAUUUUUCAAAUUUGGCAACUUGUCUUUUUCGCUUUAUUUCAUACUUUUGCCUUGAAGAAUUAAUGCGAAAACGUACCUCAUCAUGACUUCUGGCACUGUCAGAUCAUGAAAAUAGUGAUUUCGUUUUGCUGGAAAACAUUUUGAUUCGCGACAACAGCCUUCUCUCUCAAUUCAUUAAGUUUGAAUUAAAAGAAACUCAAUUAUUUAUUAUUGAAUUCCAAUUUUUAUACAAUUUCUACGCUCUAACCAUUUAAUUGUUGUAAUUAGGUCAAAGAACAUUUGACUGAGUUUAAGUUAAGUUUUUAACCUUUGUUAGUCAGUUUAAUCAUAUUCUUUUCAUCAAAACAUCUGCUACUCAGGAAAAAAUGUGUCAAACCACCUUUAAUUUUCAAAGCCGUAACUUGGUGGAUUAGGACGAGAAAAUAAUUAAAAUCAAAUUUGAUCAUCAGUAUAUUAAACUCAAAUUCAAUCCGAUAAAUGUGAUUUUCAAUAUUGAAAGUGAUUAUACAUUAAAAAUUAGGUAAUUUAAAUAUCUAUUAUGUAGGUAUUAAGUAGAUCGGUAGAGUUGUAAGAAAUUAGUAUUUUAUCUGUGUUAUAUUAUUGCUAAGAUGGCAAAUUUCAUCCACUUAAUUUAAUGGAUACUCUGACGAAAAUAACCCAAUUAAAAUAAUAAGAAGAGAUUAACACUUAAUAACACCAAUUAUUAGAUUAAUGACCCGUGAAACCACUAGAAUUUAGAAUAAUCCUACAUAUCAGAUAUAAAAGGGCUAAAUCUCUUAAUCUAGUCACUACAACAAAAACGGUCUAUAGCGACACUUUUAAAUAUAGGUACAUGUCUAAAAAGUGCUGCUAGCUAAAAUUACCGACACUUUUAAAAAGUGUUGCUAUAUGUGGAGUCGCUAGGUAUAUAGUGACAGUUAAAGAGUGUCACUAUAACCUAAAAAAGUGCUGCUAAUUUACCAAUAACUUAUUUAAGCAUUUAGCAACCGCCGAAACUCUAUCUCGUUGACUGCGGUGGCGGAGGAGGACGACAGGAAUGGCUCUUCGUCUAGAAUUUUAGUGGAUUGAGUGAAGAGAGAAGAAAAUAUGGUAAUUGAUUUUUCUUUCUUUUUUUUUCUUUUCUGUUUGUAAUCUGGCCAAAUGGACUGGGUGUGGUGGGUUGAGUAGAGUAAUCUUUUAUUUUUGGUUGAAUUGGGCUUUAUAUUUAGGCAUUAGUAGAUGUUUUUUUAAGUUUUAGCAUAAAUGGGACACUUACUCAAAAGUGUCCCAAACAUGUGUCCCUAUAACCUAAUUCUGCUGUAGUGUGGUUAUAGAAUUUUGAGCAAUGGUUAGAAACAAGAGGUUAAGAGGGUCAAGCGUAUUAGAGUUAGAGUAGUUUUAGAAUAGAUGACCCUCUGGAACGCGAAGCGUCAUAGUUGAUAAAAGUAAGGCAUUAUAGUUGGUAUUAGAGCCAAUACUAGUCUAAAAUGUGAGAUGAGUUUUGGCUAAGUCAGGUUAUAUAGCAGGGCAAAGCGCCGCUUCGCGGCUAAUGAACAUUGAGGGUAGAGUACGGCUGCCACAAGGUCGGCUAGAGACUAGCGAGACGAGCUAGGAAUAAGAGUAAUCCGAAAAUG
rnacentral:lncRNA from 1 species